GAUUUUUUUUAUUUGAACAAACUUUAUGGCCCCAAUUUAGCUCCAUACUAUCCCAUCAGUUGGAAAUGCAUUUCAGUGUCUUGUUAAAAUGUCCUAUUCUAAUUAUUUUAUACCAUUAUUUGAAAUUAAAACUUAAUCCAUAAUUAAUUUCAUAUAAUAGCUGUCCAUAAAAUAUCUCUUGGUGUAAAUUUGCUAAAGCUGUGGACCCAGCUCUGUGUUGUGUGUUUUUACUACAUGGUGCAGGAAGCUCAGUGCAAACAGGGUGAACAAAACCCUGAGGCCAAAUACCAGCUGCUGCUAACGAGCGUCAGAUGCUCAUUGCAAUGUAAAUUAGUUUUAAUUGGAGUUUCUGCCUGCGUCAUUUAUCUCCUAACCUGGCCUUUAUUAAAAUCUUCGAAGUCACUUUUUGUUUCUGCUCAACAUUUCCAAGCUUUUCUUGGCCUCCAGCUCCAGCGACAGCUCCAGACGUUUCUGUGCCGCCUCCAGCAGCUGGUUGUUCAGCGCCAUCAUCUCCGUCUUACUCCGUAGCACCUCGCCCUCCAUCGCCUUCUUCCUGUGCAGCAAAAACAGAAGAAAUGAAUCACUCCUUAGAAUAGAUUUACGGCUUUCA